AACCAUUUGAAGUAGAAGGGCAUCUAAUUCACAUGACAAAGGAAAAACAUGAAUAAAAACAACAAUUUAAUAAGAAAUAGAUCCUUUUUAUAAAACAAAAUCUUUUUGUCUGCAAAUUCGUAACUUCAAGGGCGAACAUGUAAACAGGACGAGUUGUCCCGAUACCAAAUUCACGCAUGCGUACUUCAAAUAUCUACAGUAAAACAUCCGGUUACAAGUAAACAAAUAACGUUCAUGUAGAUGAGAUGAAUUAAUAUUUACAUAAAUAAAAGGGUCAUAUUUACGAUAGUGAUUGUUUUUCCAUCGUAAUUUACAAAUUAAAUGAUUCAGAUGCUUAAUCAUGUGUAAAAAUCUGUGUCAGGAAUCAGAAGUUGUUAUGAAAUUGUAAUAUACAGAAACGAAUGCGGUAUACGGAGAAUUUAAUGAUUUUAAAGUCGGCACCAUUGGCCUUCAGAAGACUUGAAGUCUUCUUCCACCAAAAAGGUAGUUCAUAUGUUAAUUAAGAAUCUGUGCUCACCCAUUACAUUAGGAAUUAAAAGUGCCACAUUCUCAAAAAAUCGUAUUGUACAGCUGAUAAAGUUGAGGAUGAGCGUCAUUUUCCAAUCGCAUGCUCACUUUAUAAUAUUUGAGGGAUGAACUCAUUCAGCAUAUUUCUAGCACUUGUCAGAACUUUAAAAAGUUAAAUAAACAUGACGAAUCUUCGAAAUUUAUUUGUUUUGAUGUUAACACAAGAAAACUUUACUAUUAUGGGGAAAACAUCUUAUUAUAUUGUUAGCUCUUUUGAAUUAUGUAGCA
rnacentral:lncRNA from 1 species